CCAUAUGCUGAUUUUUUCUCUUCCAAAAUUUACAGAAUAUAUUAAGACAUCAAAGGCUCUACAAAAUCCUGCAGUAACUAAGGAUUUCUCAGAAAUAUAUAAUCACUCAUCUGUACUGGGAAGCCUAAUGGUCUACAGAACACUGCAAAAUACCAGAUGGUUCUGCAUGCCACUGAAAAAAGUAAAAGCAACGAGUUGAAGAAAUCAUAUUCUAGGAAAUUUGAAGAAGAGAUUGCCUGACAAACUGUAGAUGCAAAGAAACAUGCUCAGUGCUUGAGCUUCAGAGUCCAUAGCAAAGAGGAAGCAGGGAUGAAAACACAUCUGACUGCUCCACAGCGCCUGCCAAUGGCUCAAGCUGAGAAAGAAGUCCAGUCAUAGGCUGCUUAGAAGAUGAAGGACGCAGCAUCCUCAAUAAGACCAAGGAAGAUAGAGGUGCAGAGCAGGUCAGAGCAAAAUUAACCUGUAAUUCAUUUGAUCAAUGGAAACAAUAUAGACACAUGACAAUCAAGUCACAGGAAGAAACUUAUCAUUCUCACUUCUCUACUGAGCACACUACUAGGAGCAGGAAGAA
rnacentral:lncRNA from 1 species